rnacentral:rRNA from 1 species
GGGGUGNCAGGCGAUACGGGCAUAACUAGAGUGCUGUAGGGGAGACUGGAAUUCCUGGUGUAGCGGUGGAAUGCGCAGAUAUCAGGAGGAACACCGAUGGCGAAGGCAGGUCUCUGGGCAGUAACUGACGCUGAGGAGCGAAAGCAUGGGGAGCGANCAGGAUUAGAUACCCUGGUAGUCCAUGCUGUAAACGGUGGGCGUUAGGUGUGGGGACCGGUUUGGUUUCUGUGCCGUAGCUAACGCAUUAAGCGCCCCGCCUGGGGAGUACGGCCGCAAGGCUAAAACUCAAAGGAAUUGACGGGGGCCCGCACAAGCGGCGGAGCAUGUGGAUUAAUUCGAUGCAACGCGAAGAACCUUACCUGGGUUUGACAUGCACCAGACGGUUGUAGAGAUACGUACCUCCCUUUGUGGUUGGUGUGCAGGUGGUGCAUGGUUGUCGUCAGCUCGUGUCGUGAGAUGUUGGGUUAAGUCCCGCAACGAGCGCAACCCUUGUCUUAUGUUGCCAGCACUUUGGGUGGGGACUCAUGAGAGACUGCCGGGGUUAACUCGGAGGAAGGUGGGGAUGACGUCAAAUCAUCAUGCCCUUUAUGCCCAGGGCUUCACACACGCUACAAUGGUUAGUACAACGCGCUGCGAACCUGUGAGGGUGAGCGAAUCGCUGAAAGCUAAUCUCAGUUCGGAUUGGGGUCUGCAACUCGACCCCAUGAAGUCGGAGUCGCUAGUAAUCGCAGAUCAGCAAUGCUGCGGUGAAUACGUUCCCGGGCCUUGUACACACCG